rnacentral:rRNA from 1 species
CCGCAACGAGCGCAACCCCCGCGUCCAGUUGCCAUCGGGUAAUGCCGGGCACUCUGAACGGACUGCCGCCGACAAGGUGGAGGAAGGCGGGGAUGACGUCAAGUCAUCAUGGCCCUUAUGUCCAGGGCUACACACGUGCUACAAUGGGUGGAACAGAGCGAAGCGAAGCGGCGACGCGGAGCAAAGCGCAAAAAGACACCCGUAGUUCGGAUCGGAGUCUGAAACCCGACUCCGUGAAGUUGGAAUCGCUAGUAAUCGCGCAUCAGCAUGGCGCGGUGAAUACGUUCCCGGGCCUUGUACACACCGCCCGUCACACCAUCCGAGUAGAGGGUACCCGAAGCCGGUAGUCUAACCGCAAGGAGGACGCCGUCGAAGGUACGCUUUGUGAGGGGGGUGAAGUCGUAACAAGGUAACCGUACUGGAAAGUGCGGUUGGAUCACCUCCUUUCU